UACGAAGGGGGCUAGCGUUGCUCGGAAUCACUGGGCGUAAAGGGUGCGUAGGCGGGUUUUUAAGUCAGAGGUGAAAUCCUGGAGCUCAACUCCAGAACUGCCUUUGAUACUGAGAAUCUUGAGUAUGGGAGAGGUGAGUGGAACUGCGAGUGUAGAGGUGAAAUUCGUAGAUAUUCGGAGGAACACCAGUGGCGAAGGCGGCUCACUGGUCCGGUACUGACGCUGAGACGCGAAAGCGUGGGGAGCAAACAGGG
rnacentral:rRNA from 1 species